UCUCACUCCUGUCAGCAACUGUGCUGCAAGCGUUCUGCACUCAAUGCAGCUUCUGGAUUAAGCAUAAGGGAAGCCCCACGUAGAGCGCAUUGUAGAGAUCCAGUCUUGAAAGCAACCGCAGCAUGAGAGCAUUCCACAGUUUUGCAACUUCAACCCACAAUGAGCAACUUUCAGCUGAAGGUACUUUGCCACCAGAUCUCUUGUCUUCAUAUGCAAAACACGUGAUGAGCAGAAAGAUCUUGGCCCUACCUGCAAGCCAGCUUUGUGAGAAAGAAGACCUACAGUCCUUAGAUCCGGGACAAGGGGGCUAUGGUGGUAUGGAGGCUUCCUUCGGUGAAAUUGACAGGAAUGGGGCUUGGAGGAGACCACAAUGGGUUAAACGCCUGGGCUUCUUUCUUCCUUUGUUUUGAGAGAUUGUCUGCAGAGUAUAACCAGCUUGUUGCGACUGCCUCCUGCUAUUUUUGCACAGAUUAUAUUAAAGUUCACCGUUCUUA